UCUAACCUGAGCUCAUGUUGGUUCAGCAGUAGGCAAAGUCCCAGACAGACAUGUCCACUUGGCCUCUCUCCUAAGCAGGGGAAUCAGGGCCAUAUUUCUCCAACCCUGCAACACGAGGGAACACACACACAGAGGCAGGGUUGUAAAUGUAAAGAUUUUCCAUGCAGCCACUAACCUUUACAUGUCAGAUAUCAUUUCUAGACAAAAUCACAAUGAACAUGUUCCCUCAAUGCAGAGGAGAGGGGUGAUCACAUGACGCUUGUCAACAGAGGUAGCAUUUACUAUCGAUAAGUUUGCUCUGCAGUAUUCAAAUUGGCAAUAACUUCAUGAAAAUGUCGGCUCAACCUUUACAUACGGCCACGAAUAGCAGCUGAAACACCUUGAUGUCACGUGACCGCUUCGCACCACUUAGAAACGGCUUUCAGAUCCUUCAGUGAAACAUGGUGGUACUGUCAGUUGACUGAAGAUAUUUUCCAGAGUUACAUCUUUCAAUGCUUUUUCUGUGUCAUUAUAUUAACCCACAGUGGCCUACUCAGAUAGAUGCAACAUUGUUCUUUUGAAUGGCGGUUAAAAAGAAUAGCAGCAGCAGGGGUAUGUACUACAACUAUUUAUCCUGCUUCCAGUCACUUUAUCCUAAUCCCCCACCUGCAUGUUCAUAUCUACCUCAAAUUACUCCAGUAUCCCUCCACAUUAAAAUGUGGUACUGAACACUGUCCCUGUAUACUACUUCCUCUUUUAUUUUGUAUUUUUUAUGAUAUCUUUUAUUAUUUAAGUUAUACUAUUUUGAUAUUGAUUACUGCAUUUUGGGGUAGGGCUUGCAAGUGAAGCAUUUCACUCUACUUGUGCAUGUGACAAUACAAGUUGAAUUUGAACUGUACUGUAUUACAUGAAUGGUAGCCCAGACUGGUCUUGUCAAGAGACGUUUUGUUGCAUACCGAUGCUCCAUGAGCUGCCAUGUUGUUGACCCCUGUCCCCCGGAACCCUGACCCCAGUCUUUGGACAGAAGAAGUCUGGAGUGGGGGAGUGGGGUCUAGACCCUGUUCUGGGGAGCACAAGGCCCUCUGGGGUCAAGGGUGAAUUCUCCAACCCACCAAGGAGAAUCUCAUUUAUAUCUACUUUUCAGAGGGAACAGCAUCACUAGUGAUGUCCUUCACAGCACAGAGAAUGGAUAAGUCCACAAACAAUGGAGACUCAUGACAGAACAAUAUAUGAAGUCCUCAAUCCAUAUCUCUGCAAUAGCUCUCCAUAGAGAAGGUCACCAUUGACACCUGGAUCCGGUCAACCAAAUGUGUUGACAUUCAUACUACAAUUGAGUGAAGCCAGAGUUCUUGCAAAGUUCAUUUGAGUAGCUAGCAAUGAUGAACAAGAGACAUGAUUGAUGAGGCAUUGCAUUACGGCAUUAAACACAUACUAUGAUCAUUUAGAAGAAAUGUGUUUACAUCGAUGGCUGAAGAUGUCUGUAUGGCAACACUGGAAUGGGUAUUUUCAUCCUACUGUCUAAACACAAUGUCUUAUGUCCACAGCCUUACAAUGGGUGUUAUCUUUAUCUCAAGUAUCUUUCCAGGGUCUCAGAGAGUUCUGUUGUGUGUCCAUGUGAUGGUCUGGCCUUCCUGACAGACGUCAACAGGAGACUGACAGCUGCCAGUUCUUAUAAAGCCUCCAUGUCAAACCAGGAUGAACACACACACACACACACGGAGGUACACACACAGACUCACCGACAAACACACACACACACACACACACACAUACACACACAGACACACACACACACCUACACAC
ensembl:lncRNA